rnacentral:rRNA from 1 species
CCUACGGGUGGCCGCAGUCGAGAAUCAUUCACAAUGGGGGAAACCCUGAUGGUGCGACGCCGCGUGGGGGAAUGAAGGUCUUCGGAUUGUAAACCCCUGUCAUGUGGGAGCAAAUUAAAAAGAUAGUACCACAAGAGGAAGAGACGGCUAACUAUGUGCCAGCAGCCGCGGUAAUACAGAGGUCUGAAGCGUUGUUCGGAAUCACUGGGCGUAAAGCGUGCGGAGGCUGUUGCGUAAGUCGUGUGUGAAAGGCGCGGGCUCAACCCGCGGAAGGCACAUGAUACUGGGAGCCCAGAGUAAUGGAGGGGGAACCGGAAUGCUGGGGGUAGCAGUGAAAUG